UGGGGGAUAUUGCACAAUGGAGGAAACUCUGAUGCAGCGACGCCGCGUGAGGGAAGAAGGCCUUCGGGUUGUAAACCUCUGUCUUUGGGGACGAAGAAAAUGACGGUACCCAAGGAGGAAGCCACGGCUAACUACGUGCCAGCAGCCGCGGUAAUACGUAGGUGGCAAGCGUUGUCCGGAAUUACUGGGUGUAAAGGGUGCGCAGGCGGGAUGGCAAGUUGGAUGUGGAAACUCCGGGCUCAACCCGGAGCCUGCAUUCAAAACUGCUGUUCUUGAGUGAAGUAGAGGCAGGCGGGAUUCCCGGUGUAGCGGUGAAAUGCGUAGAUAUCGGGAGGAACACCAGUGGCGAAGGCGGCCUGCUGGGCUUUUACUGACGCUGAGGCACGAAAGCAUGGAUAGCAAACA
rnacentral:rRNA from 1 species